CACGCUUGGACGGGGACGAGAAUUAGAGUGGCGCCAGCGUGCUCAGUGGAGGAGGCGGAGCCGAGUACCAAGGAAGACUCCCAUCAAGGACCAGAAAGCAAUAUCUCUCAUCAUCUAACAUCAAGGCAGCUGACAGCUGGCCCCUGCCUGUCUUAUCUUUCCAACUCAAUAGCAGACAAGACCUUCCUCAGAGAGACUUGGGGAUGAGGAAUGAACACAACAUUUUGCAAAACAGCACAAAGCAGCUUGGCAUCAUGUAAAAAGAAAAGCCAGCUGUAAAAAAAAAACAACUGGAUGACUUCUUGUUGGAUCAGCUAGAUUGCACGUUACUCAUUUACAAAGGAAUAUAAAGAUGGAUGUCGUAUGUUUUCAGUGCUUGGACAAUAUUUAAG